UUAGCUAAGUCGGAAGAGCGUGGUGCUAAUAACGCUAAGGUCAUGGGUUCGAGCCCCAUA
rfam:Nematostella vectensis strain CH2 x CH6 NEMVEscaffold_248_Cont20724, whole genome shotgun sequence.